rnacentral:lncRNA from 1 species
CCUUGGAUCUUUAAACUUAUGAGACUAAUCUGCCAAACCUAUUUAAAAUAUUAAAAGCAAAAUUAAUCUCUAUUCGAUGACAUUAAUAAAAUUAAAAUAAUAAGAAAAAAAUGAUUGAGCAAGUGAUGGCAUUUGAUGGCUUCGAAUGGAUUAGGUCUAAGCGACUCAAUUAAUUAAUCAUAAAGCAUGGACUUAAUCAAGG